UGGUUGUCGUCAGCUCGUGUCGUGAGAUGUUGGGUUAAGUCCCGCAACGAGCGCAACCCUAUUGUUAGUUGCCAUCAUUCAGUUGGGCACUCUAGCGAGACUGCCGGUAAUAACCGGAGGAAGUGGGGAUGACGUCAAAUCAUCAUGCCCCUUAUGACCUGGGCUACACACGUGCUACAAUGGUUGGUACAACGAGUUGCGAGUCGGUGACGGCGAGCUAAUCUCUUAAAGCCAAUCUCAGUUCGGAUUGUAGGCUGCAACUCGCCUACAUGAAGUCGGAAUCGCUAGUAAUCGCGGAUCAGCACGCCGCGGUGAAUACGUUCCCGGGCCUU
rnacentral:rRNA from 1 species